CAGAAUACUUAAACCAACUGCAGAAGCACGUCGGCCUGAUCCUAGAGAAGUCUGGUCUUCCGUCGGAAGAACAAGUCACUGAUAUCAGUAACUGACAACAACGUGCCUCAGAAUGAACGCACAAAGUUCGACACCUGUGCCACGGCAUGCGCCGAUCUUAUGCAGGCUGUGCAAGAUGCAUCGAACGAGGUCAUGUCAGAGCUUCGCACGACGGUGGAGGAAUACAACAGA
rnacentral:lncRNA from 1 species